rnacentral:rRNA from 1 species
CUGGACCUCAGAUCAGGCGAGGCGACCCGCUGAACUUAAGCAUAUCAAUAAGCGGAGGAAAAGCAACUAACCAGGAUUCCCCCAGUAACGGCGAGCGAAGCGGGAAGAGCUCGAGCAGGCAAUCUCUGGUGUCGAUCGCCAGCGAAUUGUGGCCGGCAGAGGCGGGUGCACCUGAAGCGACUCCGUCGAAGUUGACCUGGAAAGGCACGUCGGAGAGGGUGAUAGCCCCGUGCGUGGCGGAGUCGCCGACGGCCGCUACCGUCUUCGGAGAGUCGGGUUGUUUGGGAGUGCAGCCCAAAGUGGGUGGUAAACUCCAUCUAAAGCCAAAUAACGGCACGAGACCGAUAGCGAACAAGUACCAUGAGGGAAAGGUGAAAAGCACUUUGGAAAGAGAGUUAAAGAGGCCGCGAAACCGUUGGGAGGGAAACGCAUGCAGCCGAACGGGCCCUCGUCGGGUUCAGGGGGCUGCGAGGAGUCGUGCGUGCAGACGGCACCCUCGCGGGUCGUCCGUGCGUCCGGGCCUCUCGCACCCCUGCACUCUCGGCGGUUGUGGCCGGCCAAGUGCGGUGGGCUCCGGGCGAGGAGCGCGCGUCGGGCAGGUAGCGCAGCUGUCUCUGGCAGAGGCGAACUUACAGCCGAGCGUGCGGAGCGUCCGGCGCCUACCGAGGAGAGCGGUGGCACUUCCACCCCAGCAGCGCAGGUCCGCUUCGGCGGGCCGGAGCGCUCCCGUCCGUUCAGCAGCCGGGCCGUGUCACUGCGUGCAGUGUCCGGCCUCGGUUCGUUCGUCCGGGUAGGAGGUCGUCUCACGCCUUGCGCUGUGGUCGCUUGGCUAGCCGUCGGCUGCAUUCGA